CACAGCUGGAGUUUGAGAACUUUGCAGUUGAACUUAGCCCAGGCUGCACUUACAGUUCAGUUGCUGUUUACAGUGAUGAAGAUUAAAAUCAGCUGGCUAAUCUCUGUGGAUUCUCAGCUCCCAAACCAGUGCUGAGUCCAGGAAAUACUAUGCUGGUGCAUUUUGGAAGUGAUGGGGAGAACAGCUUCAGAGGAUUCAGAGCCCAUCUCACUUUUAUUCAUUCAGGUCUGAAAGUCUUUCCCCAAGUAUGUAAGAGGGAUUUUGCAGCGAGGCGGGUUCUUGUUGAUCUCAAAUCCUUUUGUGCACUAUUUCCAUGGACAAAAAGUAAUAAGGAGACAUCUGUGGCCUUCCCACAGUGGUGUUACUAGGGCUGAAUAGGCCUUUCCUCACAGCUGGCCACAGCAUGCUGCUCUGAACCUCCUUUGAGACUACCAGUUGUCAUCAGCCCCAUAUGGAUCCUGACAGCU